rnacentral:rRNA from 1 species
AUUCCAGCUCCAAUAGCGUAUAUUAAAGUUGUUGCAGUUAAAAAGCUCGUAGUCGGAACUUUGGCCGGCGGUGAGCGUCCAAGGGCCUUCGGCCUUUGCGCAUGCGAUCCGCUAGCCAUGUACUUCGGAGGAACGCGUGUGCUUUUCACUAAGUGCGCGUGGGAUUCCGAUAGUUUACUUUGAGAAAAAUAGAGUGUUCAAAGCAGGCGUUUUGCCUUGAAUACAUUAGCAUGGGAUAAUGAAAUAGGACAUUGGUUCUAUUUUGAUGGUUUACGGACCGAUGUAAUGAUUAAUAGGGACAGUCGGGGGCAUUCGUAUUCAAACGACAGAGGUGAAAUUCUCAGACCAGCGGAAGACGAACCACUGCGAAAGCAUUUGCCAGGGAUGUUUUCAUCA